CGUGAUUCGAUCUCAAAAAGGAUGCGUGUCCUUGUAUCCAAAAUCAAUAAUGGAUCUUAUAUUCAGUGAAGCUUGUCGAUACGCGAUAAAGUUUGGUGACAAUUUACCACACAGAGAAUGUGUCGAAUUAGUGCAAUCUCUUUCGACGUGUAAAACACCAUUCCAGUGCGCUCACGGAAGGCCUGUGAUGGCGGUCAUAAUGGAUGUAAAACCGGAGACACGUAAUUAUCAGAUUAACAUGAACAAACUGAGGAGAAUGAAAAAAUAUUAAAAAGGCAAGGCAAGGUAUAAUUAUUAUAUUUGGCAGUAACAAAAAGACGACAGAUAAAGUUAUUAGAUAGCAAAGUAACUGUCUUUCUUCAAAUUGAGUUUCAAAAUC